AAUAUUUGUCAAUGGAGGCAACUCUGAACCAGCCAUGCCGCGUGCAGGAUGACGGUCCUAUGGAUUGUAAACUGCUUUUGUACAGGAAGAAAGAGAGCUACGAGUAGCUUAUUGACGGUACUGUAACAAUAAGGAACGGCUAACUCCGUCCCCGCAGCCGCGGUAAUACGGAGGAUCCAAGCGUUAUCCGGAAUCAUGGGGUUUAAAGGGUCCGUAGGGGGCCUUAUAAGUCAGCGGUGAAAGUUUUUGGCUUAACCAAAAAAUUGCCGUUGAUACUGUAGGGCUUGAAGUUUUGUGAAGUAGCUAGAAUAUGUAGUGUAGCGGUGAAAUGCUUAGAUAUUACAUGGAAUACCAAUUGCGAAGGCAGGUUACUAACAAACGAUUGACGCUGAUGGACGAAAGCGUGGUAGCGAACAG
rnacentral:rRNA from 1 species